GGAGCUUGGCAGUGCUCCGGCGAGUCAACACAGGGGGAUAGAGCAGCUCUCCCUCACAAAAACCCAGUGCGGAGCCCUCCUCUCCGCCCUGCAUCCUGUCGUGAGGCACAAGCGGCCCCUCUCUCCCUCUCCGCGGCCCCCUCACUGUCCCAGGCUGACGCUUCUCUCCCUCCGCAGUGUGUCCCGAGGUACCGGCGAGUCCUUACAAUGUCCCCGGCGGGCAGGAGGCCGGGCGCGGCGGAUCUGGGCCCGGGGAAGCGCUGGAGAUGUGUGGCCACGCAUUUGGACGCCCAUGGAGGCCCGACUUAGCAACGUCAUGCAAGAAAUAUUCUAGACAUGGAUAAUCAGACCUAAAUGUGAAGUAAUGCUCAGGGCUUCUUAGGAAUAAAUAAUACCUUCUACUGGAAGGUUUCUCAAAUCUGGUUCUUUGUGAACCUAUGCAAUGAAUGUCUUGAAUGAAGAGUUUCUUGUAAAUUGUUUGGUCUCCAGGGAGGAAACUAGAAUGUACCAGGGACUUGAACUGAUAUUAAACUUCAGCUUAUGAUUUUCUGAGUGGCUGAUUUCUGACUUCAUAUGAGAUGACUCCACUUAUCACCUUCAAUGUAUCGUCUUGGAAGUGGAAUUGAGAUAAGCAAUGUCUAAAACUACAUGUCUUCAAUGAUCAUAUUUAAACAGGAACUUUACCAUUUGUCAAAACAGAUUUCUUAACAAAAACUUUUGUAAUUUAUUACUGUCUUUGUGGAACAAUUGAAAUAAAAUGUGAGUAUGCUACCAGAA